UCUGUCAUCGCAAAACGAGUUUCGGAGUUUUGUUGAAGCGUUGUUAUUGAGGAAAAACUUCUUCAAAAGUGCUUAAAUACUGUCUUUUGGUGUUAAAUAUGGAGAAACCGACUGUUACUGAACAACCCCCGCCAUAUUCCGCCACAUAUCCGCAAGGACCUCAACCACAAGUUCACCCACAACCACAAGCCCAACCGGGGCCAGGGGGAGCAUACCCCCCACCCGGAGGAGCUUACCCCCCUCCGCCUCCUGGCUACACACCAUUCGGUACCACUCCAUCAGCCCCCAGCUACGUACCCAACUAUGGUGCUACCAACAUCAUCAUACCACCACCCAUCAUUGCUGUUGGAGCCUGCCCUGCCUGCCGCGUUGGUAUCCUUGAAGACGACUUCACCUGCCUUGGUAUAUUAUGUGCCAUCUUGUUUUUCCCUCUAGGAAUAUUGUGCUGUCUCGCUCUCAAGAACAGAAGAUGCUCAAAUUGUGGAGCUCUUUUUGGCUAGACUUUAAAUAGAAAGAGCAAAGUCAAUGAUAUAUUUUGGAAUUACUGAUUUACAAUUUAACUGACUGUGGUACUAAGAUAGAGAGCUGUACAAAUGGUUUUUGAAAUUAGGUUAUUUUAUAUUUAACGGAACAUUUACUUUGUCUGUUUUUUCUAUUUCAAGAGACAAUUCAGUUAAAUGGUAAAUCUGUGUAAUUGAUUAGAUCGAAAUAUGUGAAAAGAGACAUCAUUACAUGUAUAUAUCUACAAAAUAAAAAUGUAAGGUUUGUAACAAAAUCAAUCAGUUGUUGCCUUAUCAGUUGAAUGAUUCAUCAUGCAUAUUUAGAUUGGGAAAACAUCAUUUGAUUUUAAUAGCCAGUAUGUACUAGUGAAUUACUAUCAACAAGAAAACAUUUGCAAUUUUAGGAGGUAAAUAAUUCAAUAUUUUUCUUAUUUUGAUUUAAAAUAAUGAAAAUACACAAGUCAAAUGGGUCAAUUAAAAAAACAAUUGCAAUAACAUUAUGUACAUAGAUGGCCUAAUAUGGCCACUGCUGGGCACAGGCGUUUUAUAAUUUGCAUUAGAACACGCUUUCAAGGACCAUCAUAGAAACAUUUAUUUGUUGUCGCGCGCGCCGCGACAUAAUGUGAGCGAAUAUAGUUGGUUCAUUUGUGGCGUAGCCAAUAGAAUCUGUUCAUUUGUUGCAACGGGCGCGACAUCCUAAGGGCAUAGCUAGUUCGCAGAUCUAAAAGAGACACAGCUUAAAAUCUGUUGUGUCUAGUAUCUCGACAGAUUAGAGGUUAAUAAUCUAAUUGGUCAAUGGAUCCCAUUUUUAAAUUGUGAUAAAAAAGUAAUAAACUAUAUUACAAUAUCGUCAAUAUUGUAAUGUUUUUGUGUAUGUUUUUAGCUGUAGUUUUUAUAAGUAAGUAAGUCAUUUAAUUUCUACAAGUUAUAUUAUUUACUUUGUUGCUUUUAGUUGAUGUUAGAAUGCAUAACGAUUCCAUUACAAAUUUUAUAACUUCAAAGUACAAUAGUGUCAUUUACAUUGCCAUAUAAAAAAAAUGUGUUAAUUGGUUUUUAAUUGAUUUCGAUGAUGGUUCCAGUAUACACCAGAUCUGAUUUUAUUUAAAGUUAUAAGGGACGGAUAAUCGACAGGCAUAAAAAUUAAGGAACACAUGUUAAUUUUAUGAAGAAAUUUAAACAACCCUCUCAAAAGAAAGAAUUAAGUUGAUAACACACGUUAAACGGGUUGUAUAUCAGCAAGAAGCCUAUUUGAAUCGGCCGGGUUAUUCAUUCAUUUUAAAAUUAACAGUUGUUAAUCUCCUCUCGUGUGGGUUGAGAGGUGGAUUACCAACCUCGUCAAUUGAGCCGCCAAAGAAGGCCCCUGACAUGACUCAUGUAACGACUACGUACUUACA
rnacentral:misc_RNA from 1 species